rnacentral:rRNA from 1 species
UACGUAGGGUGCGGGCGUUAAUCGGAAUUACUGGGCGUAAAGCGUGCGCAGGCGGUUCGUUAAGUCAGCUGUGAAAGCCCCGGGCUCAACCUGGGAACGGCGGUUGAAACUGGCGAACUAGAAUCUGGCAGAGGGGGGUGGAAUUCCACGUGUAGCAGUGAAAUGCGUAGAGAUGUGGAGGAACACCGACGGCGUAGGCAGCGCCCUGGCUGUGAAUAAAGCUGACACUGAGGCACGAAAGCUGGGGGAGCAAACAGG